rnacentral:tRNA from 3 species
CAGAGUGCAGUUAAAACAGAAUAAUACUUCCCUUACACUGAAGAGACAUCCGUGCAAAUCGGAUCACCCUGA